rnacentral:rRNA from 1 species
GAUGAACGCUAGCGGCAGGCUUAACACAUGCAAGUCGAGGGGCAGCAGGGACUUCGGUUCGCUGGCGACCGGCAAACGGGUGCGGAACACGUACGCAAUCUACCUUGAUCUGGGGCAUAGCCCGGUGAAAACCGGAUUAACACCCCAUAGUAUAACAGGAAGGCAUCUUUUAGUUAUUAAAAAUUUAUUGGAUCAAGAUGAGCGUGCGUCCCAUUAGCUAGUUGGCGGGGUAACGGCCCACCAAGGCGACGAUGGGUAGCUGAUGUGGGAGCAUGAUCAGCCACACGGGCACUGGGACACGGGCCCGACUCUUACGGGAGGCAGCAGUGAGGAAUAUUGGGCAAUGGGCGCAAGUCUGACCCAGCCAUGCCGCGUGAAGGAUGAAGGCGUUCUGCGUUGUAAACUUCUUUUAUCUGGGAAGAAACCUGAGUUUUCUAAUUCAGCCGACGGUACCAGAUGAAUAAGCACCGGCUAACUCCGUGCCAGCCGCCGCAGUAACAC